ACUUCCGUUAAUUGAUCAGGAAGUGCUUGCACUGAAUGAGAUUUUAACACGAAGUGAGUGGCGGACGGGUGAGUAACACGUGGGUAACCUGCCCAGAAGCAGGGGAUAACACCUGGAAACAGAUGCUAAUACCGUAUAACAGAGAAAACCGCCUGGUUUUCUUUUAAAAGAUGGCUCUGCUAUCACUUCUGGAUGGACCCGCGGCGCAUUAGCUAGUUGGUGAGGUAACGGCUCACCAAGGCGAUGAUGCGUAGCCGACCUGAGAGGGUAAUCGGCCACAUUGGGACUGAGACACGGCCCAGACUCCUACGGGAGGCAGCAGUAGGGAAUCUUCCACAAUGGACGCAAGUCUGAUGGAGCAACGCCGCGUGAGUGAAGAAGGGUUUCGGCUCGUAAAGCUCUGUUGUUAAAGAAGAACGUGGGUGAGAGUAACUGUUCACCCAGUGACGGUAUUUAACCAGAAAGCCACGGCUAACUACGUGCCAGCAGCCGCGGUAAUACGUAGGUGGCAAGCGUUAUCCGGAUUUAUUGGGCGUAAAGCGAGCGCAGGCGGUCUUUUAAGUCUAAUGUGAAAGCCUUCGGCUCAACCGAAGAAGUGCAUUGGAAACUGGGAGACUUGAGUGCAGAAGAGGACAGUGGAACUCCAUGUGUAGCGGUGAAAUGCGUAGAUAUAUGGAAGAACACCAGUGGCGAAGGCGGCUGUCUGGUCUGUAACUGACGCUGAGGCUCGAAAGCAUGGGUAGCGAACAGGAUUAGAUACCCUGGUAGUCCAUGCCGUAAACGAUGAUUACUAAGUGUUGGAGGGUUUCCGCCCUUCAGUGCUGCAGCUAACGCAUUAAGUAAUCCGCCUGGGGAGUACGACCGCAAGGUUGAAACUCAAAAGAAUUGACGGGGGCCCGCACAAGCGGUGGAGCAUGUGGUUUAAUUCGAAGCUACGCGAAGAACCUUACCAGGUCUUGACAUCUUCUGCCAACCUAAGAGAUUAGGCGUUCCCUUCGGGGACAGAAUGACAGGUGGUGCAUGGUUGUCGUCAGCUCGUGUCGUGAGAUGUUGGGUUAAGUCCCGCAACGAGCGCAACCCUUAUUACUAGUUGCCAGCAUUCAGUUGGGCACUCUAGUGAGACUGCCGGUGACAAACCGGAGGAAGGUGGGGACGACGUCAAAUCAUCAUGCCCCUUAUGACCUGGGCUACACACGUGCUACAAUGGAUGGUACAACGAGUUGCGAAACCGCGAGGUUUAGCUAAUCUCUUAAAACCAUUCUCAGUUCGGACUGUAGGCUGCAACUCGCCUACACGAAGUCGGAAUCGCUAGUAAUCGCGGAUCAGCAUGCCGCGGUGAAUACGUUCCCGGGCCUUGUACACACCGCCCGUCACACCAUGAGAGUUUGUAAUACCCAAAGCCGGUGGGGUAACCUUUUAGGAGCUAGC
rnacentral:rRNA from 1 species